rnacentral:rRNA from 1 species
GAUUUCUGGUAGAUCAUUCUGGCCCGCAUCCCUUGGGAUGUGAGAGCUGGCGUGUUUCUGCCAUCCUUCUAGGAUGCUAUGUCUACUCUUUACUGAGCUGGGCAUAUGUGUUCUAGAUCGUUUACUUUGAAAAAAUUAGAGUGUUUAAAGCAGGCUUUUGCUAUGAAUACAUUAGCAUGGAAUAAUAAUCUAGGACUUCGGUUCUAUUUUGUUGGUUUCUAUAACUGAAGUAAUGAUUGAUAGGGAUAGUUGGGGGUGCUAGUAUUGGCCGGCCAGAGGUGAAAUUCUUGGAUUCGGUCAAGACUAACUUAUGCGAAAGCAUU